rnacentral:rRNA from 1 species
UUAAUUCAUGCAUCAUAUUUAAUUUCUGUUGUUGAUUUAUUUUAUUUUUAUUUGAUGUUAAGAUUGAGGGGGAUUAGCUCCUUGUUCUGCUUUUAUAAUUGUCUUUUAUUAAUUAAGUUUUGUGGAUUUUAUGGUGAUUUUCUAUUUGAUUAUGUUAAAAUUUUAUUUGUUCUUUUUUUAAUUUUUUUGUUAUAUAAGUUAUUUAUUGAAAUGUUUUCUUUACUUUUAGUUUGUGUAGUAAUUAUUGUGUAAUUAGUAAAUUUUAUUGAUUGUUUUGUGAGUUGAGAGUAGGUGUUAAUUGCUUUUGAGGAAUUCGGCAAAUUUUUAUGUCCGCCUGUUUAACAAAAACAUCUUUUCUUGUUAGUUUUUGAAGUAUGGCCUGCCCACUGGCUUAUUAAGUUGAAGGGCCGCGGUAUUUUGACCGUGCAAAGGUAGCAUAAUCAUUAGUUCUUUAAUUGUGAUCUGGUAUGAAUGGCUUGACGAGACAUAAGCUGUCUUAGAGGUAUUGGUUUAUUGAAUUUGGUUUUUGAGUUAAAAUUCUUAAAUGUUUUUAUGGGACGAGAAGACCCUAUAGAGUUUGACAAUUUUCUUAUUUGUUCAUUGUUUGUUUAUUUACACUGAGUGGGAAUAGAUUGUUUUGUUGGGGUGAUGGGAGGAAUAUUAUUUAACUCCUCUUUGUUUUUGUAUAUUUAUGUAUAUAUAUUUGAUCCAUUUAUUUUGAUUAUAAGAUUAAAUUACC